rnacentral:rRNA from 1 species
GGGGGAUAUUGCGCAAUGGGGGCAACCCUGACGCAGCAACGCCGCGUGAAGGAUGAAGGUUUUCGGAUUGUAAACUUCUUUUAUUAAGGACGAAAAUUGACGGUACUUAAUGAAUAAGCUCCGGCUAACUACGUGCCAGCAGCCGCGGUAAUACGUAGGGAGCAAGCGUUGUCCGGAUUUACUGGGUGUAAAGGGUGCGUAGGCGGCUUUGCAAGUCAGAUGUGAAAUCUAUGGGCUCAACCCAUAAACUGCAUUUGAAACUGUAGAGCUUGAGUGAAGUAGAGGCAGGCGGAAUUCCCCGUGUAGCGGUGAAAUGCGUAGAGAUGGGGAGGAACACCAGUGGCGAAGGCGGCCUGCUGGGCUUUAACUGACGCUGAGGCACGAAAGCGUGGGUAGCAAACAGGAUUAGAUACCCUGGUAGUCCACGCUGUAAACGAUGAUUACUAGGUGUGGGGGGACUGACCCCUUCCGUGCCGGAGUUAACACAAUAAGUAAUCCACCUGGGGAGUACGACCGCAAGGUUGAAACUCAAAGGAAUUGACGGGGGCCCGCACAAGCAGUGGAGUAUGUGGUUUAAUUCGAAGCAACGCGAAGAACCUUACCAGGUCUUGACAUCGAGUGACGAAUCUAGAGAUAGAUUUUUCCUUCGGGACACAAAGACAGGUGGUGCAUGGUUGUCGUCAGCUCGUGUCGUGAGAUGUUGGGUUAAGUCCCGCAACGAGCGCAACCCUUGCUAUUAGUUGCUACGCAAGAGCACUCUAAUAGGACUGCCGUUGACAAAACGGAGGAAGGUGGGGACGACGUCAAAUCAUCAUGCCCCUUAUGACCUGGGCUACACACGUACUACAAUGGAUGUAAACAGAGGGAAGCAAAAUAGCGAUAUGGAGCAAACCCCAAAAAGCAUUCUCAGUUCAGAUUGCAGGCUGCAACUCGCCUGUAUGAAGUUGGAAUUGCUAGUAAUCGCGGAUCAGCAUGCCGCGGUGAAUACGUUCCCG